ensembl:ncRNA asRNA:CR44372 antisense RNA:CR44372
UUUAUUUUCAAAAAUCAUGUUUGCUGAAUAAAUUCCAAACAAGUAAACAUUAAAUCACCGAUAAGGAGUUUGUCGAAUAAAUGCGUUCUUUAUUCAUUAGAUCUGUAGUAUAUAUAACUAUGCACAGCAUUUAAUUUCAAUUAAUUAGCAUUGCCCUUCUAAUCCAAUUAAUGUAAUUUGGCACAUAUGUAUAAACUCCGGGGCUUUGACAAUCCGUUGGACCAUAGCUCACGAUGCCCAGCUGCAGGUAGCGUUUAACUCCAUCGAAAUCGACCCUGGUCACCAGAGGUCCGCCGGAGUCGCCGGCACAGGUAUCCCGUUCUUCAUGGCCGGCGCAAAUCUGGUUUCCGUUCAUAUACGCAUGAAAACUCCGGCUGCAGUAUGCGGCGUCGUAUGCCCUAAGUUCCGCGGUCUGCAGCAAAUGGGGAAACCCAUUUUUUUUGGUCUCUCCCCAGCCGAAGGUCUGAUAUGUAGCCACACUGGGCGCACUAGCGGGAUUUAGGAGUAUGCAAAUGGGCUGGAUAUGAACUGGGUAAUGGAAUCAUGUUAAGACAAAAGAGGUAGCUAUAGUCGAGCUACUUGACUAUCGUAUACCCGUUACUCGGAGAAAACUUUAAAAUCGUUGGCAAAAAUGUCGAUAGAAAUUGGCAAAAAAAAAUUGAUGAGUUUCCUGUGGACGUGGAAACGUUCUGCUUUCUAGCUUUUAUAGUUCCUGAGAUCUCGACGUUUAUACGGACGGACAAACGGAUGGCCAUGAAAAGAUCACCCCGAUUAGUGAUCCUUUCUUCUCAACCCUUCUACCAUACUUUCUACAAAUGUGGAAUACUUUUUUACCCUACGAGUAACGGGUAUCUUUAUUCAGGAACAACUUACCAUUGAAAUUAAUACUCCUGUUCAAUUUCAGCAGCGCUAUGUCGUUGACGUGGUUGGCAGCGUUAUAAAAUCGAUGGGUUAUUGCCUUCAUGAUGCCAUACUCCUCAGAACGGGGAGAGCAAUUCGAUCCCUGGCAGUCGGGAUCCGUUCUUAUAUUGUGUUCGCCCAGUCGCAAUCUUCUAAAUCGCAAAAUCAAAAUCUUGAGUAAAUAAUAUUGUGUAAAAGACGGAAACUUACAGAUUGGGAAAAACACAGUGGGCGGCAGUAAGUAUGUAUCCUUAAAAACGUUAAAUUAGCCAAUCAGAUAUAUUAUAUGUACGUUCAUUUAUAACUAAUUAACUAACUUGAGUUUAGGAUCGAUCCUCCACAAUGCGUUAAUGAAUUGUUGGUCACAUAGACCAUGAACGGUGCAGAUCUAAUCACAGCUUCCUUUCCGUUCACGACCCUCAUGGCCGUUUGGGAUUCAUAGGUAACCCCGCACAGCGGGUUCAGGAACUGUGCGUCCACAAUCCUCUGCUGGCGGAUCAGGCAGAUGGCGAUGACAAACCAAGCUGGAGAUGUCUUCAUUUAGUGUGACUGUUCUAUGCCUACUGAACUGAAUGCAACUGACGUUGAUGGUUAAGUAAACUCAAUGCAGUUCUUAUCAGCUCAUUAAUGGGAAUCAAUCAUCAUCAUUCCAAGAAAUCUACGUAUGUACAUAAGUAUCUCUUAAAGUCUAAUGCCAUUAUGAGUAAACAAAUGUCAUGGGAUAAAAAAAAGGAUACCGCAACCAAAGCAAGAAAACUUAACCAACUUUUUACUAGAUAUCUUUUACUUUUAACAGUUUUAGAAUAGUUUAAUUAAUAUCCAUUCGACUGCAUAACGUAUCGGAUCCAUCUAAUGUAAUUCGGAACAUACGUAUACACUCCGGGACUUUGGCACUUGUCGUCGCCAAAGCUCACGAUCCCCAACUGCAAGUAGCGCCAAACUCCGUCGUAGUUCACCUUGGUGACCAGAGGUCCACCUGAGUCACCGGAGCAGGUGUCCGAUCCCUGAAAUCCGACGCAAAGCUGAUUAAUUGUGAUUGGCAUGGACAGCACCGAGCGGCAGUGGCGGUUGUCAUAGCGGGUGAGAACCGUCGUCUGCAACACAUUGGCGGAAUGAUUGGUUUCGGUUUGGCCCCAUCCGAAAGCCUGGAAUUCGUGCACAUUGGGCGCUGCCGCCGGAUUGAGAAUCAGGCAAAUCGGUUGUAUGUGCACUGCGAAUAGAGAUGGUUCUAUUUAAAUAUCAUUGAGCCAUACGUGCAUAUCCCUACACACCAUUAAAGCGAAUGUUCCUGCUGAGCUUGAGCAGAGCAAUAUCAUUGGCCAGGAAGCGAUCGAAGCGCUUGUACUUCGUGGCCAAAACGAUGUCAAAUUCUUCGGCAGGGGGAGAACAAGAUCCACCCUGGCAGUCGGGAUUUCUGGUAAUAUCGUGUUCCCCCAGUCGCACCUUUCUAGAUCGGAUGAAACAAACCUUGUCAAUUUGAUGUCUCAGUACAAAUGGGGCAUACUUACAGAUACGGCCUCAUACAAUAGCUGCAAGAUACGAACUACUGGAGAUGAUCGUUCCGCCGCAGUGGAUCUCGGAGCUGUAGUACAAAUAGGCCAUAAAUGGAGCCGAUUUCAGCAUAGCUUCCUUGCCGCGAACUAUUCUCGUGGCCACAUUGGACUCAUAGGAUACUCCGCAGGACGGAAUCAGGAAGUUGGCGGCCACUUGCUCCUGGAGAACCAGGCAGACGCACAUGCAGAUGUAAAUGGAAGUCGAUGCGAGAGAAAUGCUCAUUUUGCGAGACGGUAUCUUGGUUACUGAACCCACAACAACUGGUGUUAAUCAUUAAAUUGGAAUAAAGCUGAAUUAAUCAGUUGCAAUUCCGUGAAAUU